rnacentral:rRNA from 1 species
UACGUAGGGGGCUAGCGUUGUCCGGAAUCAUUUGGCGUAAAGCGCGCGUAUGCGGCCCGGUAAGUCCGCUGUGAAAGUCAAAGGCUCAACCUUUGAAUGUCAGCGGAUACUGCCGGGCUAGAGUCCGGAAGAGGCGAGUGGAAUUCCUGGUGUAGCGGUGGAAUGCGCAGAUAUCAGGAGGAACACCAACGGCGAAGGCAGCUCGCUGGGACGGUACUGACGCUGAGGCGCGAAAGCGUGGGGAGCGAACAGG